rnacentral:rRNA from 1 species
CCUACGGGAGGCAGCAGUGGGGAAUAUUGCACAAUGGGGGAAACCCUGAUGCAGCGACGCCGCGUGGAGGAAGAAGGUCUUUCGGAUUGUAAACUCCUGUUGUUGGGGAAGAUAAUGACGGUACCCAACAAGGAAGUGACGGCUAACUACGUGCCAGCAG